AGUAGUGUGGUUGAGAGGUGUAAGGCCCUGGAUUCAGGCUCCAGUCAUUUGGAUGGUGUGGCUUCAAAUCCCGCUGCUGCCA
rnacentral:tRNA from 1 species